CAUUUUUUGGCCGACGUAGUGGUCCUUCAAAGUCGACUAUCUAACGUUUGGUAUCGAAAUUUGAGACAACUGGUUCGGUAAACGAUCAGUUAACACCCGUACGUCAAAGAAACGCCAGAUCGGUCCAGAAUAUCGCCGCGGUACGUGAAAGUGUGCAGGAGAACCCGAGGCAGUCAAUUCCUCGCCGUGCACAAGAACUCGGUCUGUCACAGUCUUCAACNGGUGUCGAAAUUUGAGACAACUGGUACGGUAAACGAUCAGUUAACAUCCCCCUACAUCAAAGAUCGGUCCAGAAUAUCGCCGCGGUACGUGAAAGUGUGCAGGAGAACCCGAGGCAGUCAAUUCCUCGCCGUGCACAAGAAGUCGGUCUUUCACAGUCUUCAACUUGGCGAAUUUUGCGCCGGGACUUGGGCUUACACUCGUAUAAGAUCCAACUGACCCAGGAGACGUGAAUUGGUUACCAAGAUCGUGUGAUUUGACCCCAUUAGACUUUUUCUUGUGGGGUUUCCUGAAGUCGCAGGUCUAUGCCAAUAAGCCGNGUUUGGUGCGGAUUUUGGGCCGGCGGUAUCAUUGGUCCGUACUUUUUUGAAAAUGACGUUGGUGAGGCCAUCACCGUCAAUGGUGAGCGAUACAGAACGAUGAUAACCGAUUUUUUUUUUCCCAAAAUGAACGGUAUGGACGUAGACGACAUGUGGUUUCAGCAGGAUGGCGCUACGUGCCAUACAUCCAACGCCACGAUAACCAUUCUGAACGGCAAAUUUAAGGGUAUGGUUAUCUCUCGCCGAUGAGACAUGAAUUGGCCACCAAGAUCGUGUGAUUUGACCCCAUUAGACUUUUUCUUGUGGGGUUUCCUGAAGUCGCAGGUCUAUGCCGAUAAGCCGAAAUCGACAGAUGACCUUAAAGUGAACAUAACCCAGGCCAUCGCUCAAAUUCAACCGGAUCUAUGCGGCAGAGUCAUUGAAAAUUGGACCACUCGGAUUCGUGCCACUGUGAGAAGCCGUGGCGGACAUUUAAACGAUAUUAUAUUUAAAACAUAAUUGGCAUACUUAGAACUUUAAAAUAAAAAAAAAAUUUCACUAAUACCUCGCACAUAGCUUGUUUUAUUUCAUUUCAACAUCGACCCGCUCUUAUUGAAAAACCC